rnacentral:rRNA from 1 species
UACGGAGGGUGCAAGCGUUGUUCGGAUUUAUUGGGCGUAAAGCGCGUGUAGGCGGUUUCUUAAGUCUGAUGUGAAAGCCCUGGGCUCAACCCAGGAAGUGCAUUGGAUACUGGGAAACUUGAAUACGGGAGAGGGUAGUGGAAUUCCUAGUGUAGGAGUGAAAUCCGUAGAUAUUAGGAGGAACACCGGUGGCGAAGGCGGCUACCUGGAUCACCCUGACGCUGAGACGCGAAAGCGUGGGGAGCGAACGGG